GGCAGAUGCCAAAAUGCCAGAUGCGCAAUCUGGCUAUGAAAAAGGCAGCACGCUUGUCAUGGCGGGACUAUCUGGGCUGAACAUGGUCUAUGAGGCC
rnacentral:ncRNA from 1 species